UACGGAGGGUGCAAGCGUUAUCCGGAUUCACUGGGUUUAAAGGGUGCGUAGGUGGGCAAGUAAGUCAGUGGUGAAAUCUCCGGGCUUAACCCGGAAACUGCCAUUGAUACUAUUUGUCUUGAAUACUGUGGAGGUCAGCGGAAUAUGUCAUGUAGCGGUGAAAUGCUUAGAUAUUGGGAAGAACACCAGCGGCGAAAGCGCGCUACUGGGCCAUUACUGACACUCAUGGACGAAAGCUAGGGGAGCGAAAGGG
rnacentral:rRNA from 1 species